GACGAACGCUGGCGGCGUGCUUAACACAUGCAAGUCGAGCGGUAAGGCCCUUUCGGGGGUACACGAGCGGCGAACGGGUGAGUAACACGUGGGUGACCUGCCCUCAGCUCUGGGAUAAGCCUGGGAAACCGGGUCUAAUACUGGAUAUGACUCCAUGACGUAUGUUGUGGGGUGGAAAGCCUUGUGCGGCUGAGGAUGGGCCCGCGGCCUAUCAGCUUGUUGGUGGGGUGAUGGCCUACCAAGGCGACGACGGGUAGCCGGCCUGAGAGGGCGACCGGCCACACUGGGACUGAGACACGGCCCAGACUCCUACGGGAGGCAGCAGUGGGGAAUCUUGCGCAAUGGGCGAAAGCCUGACGCAGCGACGCCGCGUGAGGGAUGACGGCCU
rnacentral:rRNA from 1 species